CCUCAUUAGUCAGUAUGUGUUACACCUUUGCUGGCUUGUCAUCUCGUUAGUCAGAAGGUGUUUCACCUAUGUUGGCACAGGUGAUAUUUAAGAGCGGCUGGCCCAGUGCUCCACUUGGCUUGAGAGAUGUGGAGGGUUAACACCUUUAGUUGGCGGUCCCUAUUUUGAUUUCUAAAAACCAAUCCUUUAUCUGAUCUUCCCUGUUUUCAUUUUGCUCCACUUUUUGGUUUUCUUACUGUCUUUAAAUUUGGUGUGGGUUUUUCUUUUGCUUUCCUCUUCUUAGGCUAAUUUAGUGGGUGCUCAUGGUGGCUGUUUUUUAGGUUCCAGUUGUUGUUCAUUGCUAGUCAACUUUCAGUGGACACCCCCAUGAGUGUCUUUCAGAACCCCUUCUAAAACUCCACCUUUUUCAUUUUGGUCAUUGUCAGUGACUGUAAAGAUACUGUACCUUAAUAGAAAAUGACUCAAGUGAAAGUCACCCAGUAAAAUACUACUUGAGUAAUUUGGUUUUAAAUAUACUUAAGUAUCAAAAGUAAAUGUAAUUUCUCAAAUAUACUUAAGUAUAAAAAGUAUAAACCAUUUAAAAUGUCUUAUAUUAAGCAAAUCAGACUGUACCAUUUUAUUUUUUUAUUUUUUUUACAGAUAGCCAGGGCCACACUCCAACACUCAGAGAUCAUUUACAAAUGAAGCAUGUGUGUUUAGUGCAUCUGCCAGAUCAGAGUCAGUAAAGAUGGCCAGGGAUGUUGUCACGCCAUGACCUUAGAGAGCCGUUUUAUUUCUCUAUUUUGGUUAGGUCAGGGUGUGAUGUGGGGUGGGCAUUCUAUGUUGUCUAUUUCUUUGUUUUUGGCCUAGUCAGGGUGUGAUGUGGGGUGGGCAUUCUAUGUUGUCUAUUUCUUUGUUUUUGGCCUAGUAUGGUUCCUAAUCAGAGGCAGCUGUCUAUCGUUGUCUGUGAUUGGGAAUCAUACUUAGGCAGCCUUUUCCCACCUGUGUUUUGUGGUUAGUUAUUUUCUGUUUAGUAUCUGUUACCUGACAGAACUGUUCGCUUUCAUUUUGUUACUUUGUUCGAGUGUUUCGUUGAUCAAUAAAAAUCAUGAACACUUUCCACGCUGCGCUUUGGUCCACUCAUUCCGACGAGAGCCGUUACAGAUGUUGUCUUGAUACGUGCGUGAAUUGGACCAUUUCCUUGUUCUGCUAACCAUUCAAAAUGUAACGGGUACUUUUUGAUGUCAGGGAAAAUGUACUGUGAGCGGACCAAGUCAUCUGGUGUCACUCUAAAGCAGAAAGGUGGAAUAAACGAGUCAAGUUUUUUUCGUACUGGUCCCCCAUGGGAAUCGAACCCACAACCCUGGCAUUGCAAAUGCCAUGCUCUACCAACUGAGCCACACGGGACUCCUGUAACAUGUUCUAUUGUGGAUCGAAAGGGUCAUGGUUGGGUCUCCCAGGUCUCCUUGGCUAAGUCGAG
rnacentral:tRNA from 1 species